rnacentral:rRNA from 1 species
UACGUAGGGUGCAAGCGUUGUCCGGAAUUAUUGGGCGUAAAGAGCUCGUAGGUGGUUUGUUACGUCUGCUGUGAAAACCUAGGGCUUAACCCUGGGCUUGCAGUGGAUACGGGCAGACUAGAGGUAGGUAGGGGAGAAUGGAAUUCCUGGUGUAGCGGUGAAAUGCGCAGAUAUCGGGAGGAACACCAGUAGCGAAGGCGGCACUCUGGGCCGAUACUGACGCUGAGGAGCGAAAGCGUGGGGAGCAAACAGG